UUCUUUAAGUAAAAUAGUUUAAAGUAAAACCUGCUCCAUGAAGAAUUAAAUAGCCGCAGAUUAUCUGUGCUAAGGUAGCGUAAUCACUUGCUUCAUAAUUGGAAGAUAGAAUGAAAGGUUAAACGAAAAUACCCUUUCUAAGCUAUAACAAUUAACCUUAUAUAUUAGUCAAAAAGCUAAUAAGACAAUAAAGGACGAUAAGACCCUGAUAAACUAUUCUUUUAGUUGGGGCAACAAAGAAAAAUAACCUUACUCUUACAACAGAACUAAAACAUUUAAAUACGACUAGUUACUACAGGGAUAACAGCGCAAUUUUUUUGAAGAGCUCCUAUCGAAAAAAAAGAUUACGACCUCGAUGUUGAAUUAACCUAUCAUUAAAAGCGCAAAAGCUUUACUGUCAGGUCUGUUCGACCAAACAAGGUU
rnacentral:rRNA from 1 species